rnacentral:rRNA from 1 species
CAAUAGCGUAUAUUAAAGUUGUUGCGGUUAAAAAGCUCGUAGUUGGAUUUCUGCUGAGAACGACCGGUCCGCCCUUUGGGUGUGUAUCUGGCUCUUUCUUGGCAUCUUCUUGGUGAACGUUGCUGCACUUGACUGUGUGGAGCGCUACCCAGGACUUUUACUUUGAGGAAAUUAGAGUGUUUCAAGCAGGCAUACGCCUUGAAUACAUUAGCAUGGAAUAAUAAGAUAGGACCUCGGUUCUAUUUUGUUGGUUUCUAGAGCUGAGGUGAGAAUUAAUGGGGAUUGUUGGGGGCAUCCGAAUUUAGCCGUCAGAGGUGAAAUUCUUGGAUCGGCUAAAGACGGACAACUGCGAAAGCGUUUGCCCAGGAUGUUUUCAUUGA